AGCCGGGUGGCUAGCGGUGCUUGAGCUGGCAGUCGGGGUGGCAGCCCUGCUGCAGAGACCAGGGACCUAGGUUAGGCGGAGUGAAGGGGAAACAAACGCACCGCCCAGCUGAGGGCUGGGGACAACCCCUGAUGAGGACUUGGGGGGCCAAAGCCCAGCAGUAAAUCCUUUGCCAGGGAAGCGGGCGGAGAGAGGCGUCUGCAUUGCAAGCCCAGCAGCGAGAGCCCAGCAGAGCUGCAGACAUGGGGAAUCGAGGGAUGGAAGACCUCAUCCCCCUGGUCAACAGGCUCCAGGAUGCCUUCGCGGCUAUCGGUCAGAAUGCAGACCUGGACCUGCCCCAGAUAGCCGUGGUGGGCGGACAGAGCGCCGGGAAGAGUUCAGUGCUGGAAAAUUUUGUGGGCAGGGACUUCCUGCCUCGGGGAUCUGGCAUUGUCACCAGGCGCCCACUGGUCCUGCAGCUGGUAACCUCUACAACAGAAUAUGGAGAGUUUCUACACUGCAAAGGGAAGAAGUUCACUGACUUUGAAGAGAUACGUCUGGAGAUCGAGGCUGAGACAGACCGGGUUACUGGCUCCAACAAGGGGAUUUCCCCUGUCCCCAUUAACCUCCGGGUUUACUCUCCCAAUGUCCUGAGUCUGACCCUUGUGGACCUACCAGGGAUGACAAAAGUCCCAGUGGGAGACCAGCCACUUGACAUUGAGUUCCAGAUCCGGGAAAUGCUCAUGCAAUUCGUUACCAAAGAGAACUGCCUCAUCCUGGCUGUAUCCCCAGCUAACUCUGAUCUGGCCAACUCUGAUGCCCUGAAGAUCGCAAAGGAGGUUGACCCCCAAGGCCAGCGCACCAUUGGUGUCAUCACUAAACUGGACCUCAUGGAUGAAGGAACGGAUGCACGAGAUGUGCUAGAGAACAAGUUACUUCCCCUUCGAAGAGGUUACAUCGGUGUGGUCAACAGAAGUCAGAAGGACAUUGAUGGCAAGAAGGACAUUCAGGCUGCACUGGCUGCAGAGCGGAAGUUCUUUCUCUCCCACCCAGCCUACAGACAUAUGGCUGAGCGCAUGGGCACCCCCUACCUGCAGAAAGUGUUGAACCAGCAACUGACCAAUCACAUCCGAGACACCCUACCAGGCCUACGGAACAAACUUCAAAGCCAGCUUCUCUCCAUUGAGAAAGAGGUGGAGGAGUACAAGAACUUCCGCCCUGAUGAUCCUGCCAGGAAGACCAAAGCUCUGCUUCAGAUGGUCCAGCAGUUUGCUGUGGACUUUGAGAAGCGUAUUGAAGGCUCUGGGGACCAGAUUGAUACCUAUGAGCUGUCUGGAGGAGCUAGGAUCAACCGCAUCUUCCAUGAGCGGUUCCCCUUUGAACUGGUGAAGAUGGAGUUUGAUGAGAAGGAGCUCCGGCGAGAGAUCAGCUACGCCAUCAAGAACAUCCAUGGUAUCAGAACCGGUCUCUUCACGCCCGACAUGGCCUUUGAGACCAUUGUGAAAAAGCAGGUGAAGAAGAUUAAAGAGCCUUGCCUGAAAUGCGUGGACAUGGUCAUUUCGGAGUUAAUCAGUACCGUUAGACAGUGCACCAAGAAGCUCAGCCAGUACCCUCACCUGCGGGAGGAGAUGGAGCGAAUUGUUACUACACACAUUCGUGAGCGGGAAGGCAGGACCAAGGACCAGGUCAUGCUUCUGAUAGACAUUGAGCUGGCAUACAUGAACACAAACCACGAGGAUUUCAUUGGCUUUGCCAAUGCUCAACAGAGGAGUAGCCAGAUGAGCAAGAAGAAGGCAGCUGGCAACCAAGAUGAGAUCCUGGUGAUCCGAAAGGGCUGGCUCACUAUCAAUAACAUUGGGAUCAUGAAGGGCGGCGCCAAGGAAUAUUGGUUUGUUCUGACAGCCGAGAACCUCUCGUGGUAUAAGGACGAUGAGGAGAAAGAAAAGAAGUACAUGCUGCCAGUGGAUAACCUGAAGCUGCGGGAUGUUGAGAAGGGCUUCAUGUCCAGCAAGCAUAUCUUUGCUCUCUUCAACACUGAACAGAGGAAUGUUUACAAAGACUAUCGACAGCUGGAGUUGGCCUGUGAGACUCAGGAGGAGGUGGAUAGCUGGAAGGCUUCCUUCCUGCGUGCAGGAGUGUACCCAGAGCGUGUUGGGGACAAGGACAAAACAAGUGAAUCAGAGGAAAAUGGAUCUGACAGUUUCAUGCACUCUAUGGACCCCCAACUGGAGAGACAAGUUGAAACAAUCAGGAACCUGGUGGACUCCUACAUGGGAAUUGUCAACAAAACUAUCCGAGACCUCAUGCCUAAGACCAUCAUGCAUCUCAUGAUAAAUAAUACAAAGGAUUUUAUCCAUUCGGAGUUGCUAGCAAACCUCUACUCCUGUGGAGACCAAAAUACCCUCAUGGAAGAGUCAUCAGAGCAGGCCCAGCGGCGUGAUGAGAUGCUCCGCAUGUAUCAUGCUCUGAAGGAGGCACUCAACAUCACUGGGGACAUUAACACCACCACCAUCAGCACCCCUAUGCCCCCGCCGGUGGACGACUCCUGGCUGCAGGUCUCCCACCUCCAGCCCUACACCACAGAGGAGAGCUCCUGCGGUUCCACCAGCCAGGCCUGGAUCUCGAGGUCCAGCUCCUGGACCUCCUCCUGCUGGUGGACCCACCCUGGGUGGUGCUCCCCCUGUGCCCUCCAGGCCAGGUGCUUCCCCUGAUCCUUUUGGACCCCCCCCUCAAGUUCCAUCUCGGCCAAACCGUGCUCCUCCUGGUGUCCCCAGAAUCACUAUCAGUGACCCCUGAGGACUGGCAGCCACGCAGGAAGGGCCCUGCCUCACCUACUCGACCCACCAUAAUCCGACCAGCUGAACCGUCCCUCUUAGAUUUAUAAUCCAAGGCCUGUAGACAGCUGGUGACAAGCACCGUACCCGCGGCUUUCCCACCCCCUACCACCUAUCACAGGCACAUUCGCUCCUCUCAUCCAUCCCACCCCUUACCGUUCACUACCCCCUCCUGGUGUGUUAUAAAACGCAAGCUAGUGUUUGAGCGCUUCUUCGUCUUCUCUUGUGCAUCCUGUAUUGCUUUGUGAGCAUAGACUAGUCCCCAUUCACUGGCGUGGGACUUUGAAGGACACAGGCUCCUUGAAGUGAUCAGUUGUGGGGGCAUCCUUAACCCCAAAUGGCAACUACCUAGCCAAGUACUCCAUCUGGUUGGGCUAGCCUGAACAAUGUGUCCUGCCUGCAUUGGCUAGCUGUAGUGUCUCAGCACCUAGAACUAAUCUAUAGCUCUGUAGGUAUUUUCUUAUGUUGUAGUAAAGAAGACAAAGCGCAACUCAGAAGAAUAAGUGAUACUGGGAAAAUGUGUGACAUUAUUGGUAACAAAGGUGAAAUGUCCAGUGUGUGGGCUUGAAUUAAGGUGCAAAAAUUCAUAUAUUGUUAGGAACAGUGCAAUGAACCUCACUUCAAAGGAAGGCAGGGAGCGCAAGAUGGGGGGAGCUUUAUUGAACGGUGUAACCCUUCCAAAACAAAGUCUGAGAUAGCUCAUAUACACACGCCUCAGAGUUCACGGAGCAGAUGGAUCAACCUGUCCACAGCUAACCCUAGUAGCUGAGAAAAUGCGGCUGAUGGAAAGCCGCUGGCCUCUGCCAGCUGCUGUGUCACAUAACUGCCUGCAACUGACUUUCCAGAAACUGUGGGGAACAGAUGUGAUGCUCCCCCUUUGCAAACAGACAAGCAAAAGUUUUCAGGGAGUUCGCUAAAUAAUGUUUUAUUGCAAAUAUCUCUGCUUCAAAAAAGCACAUUUCUUGUUCAGUGUUUUGUUUUUCGUUUUUGUUUUUUUUUGAUAAUGUGAUAAUUAUGAUAACCUAUUCUUCUUGCAUGCGGAUGGUACGUGUUUGAGGAAACUUGUAACCACUGCAGACCAUGACUCGUCUAACUUGGGUACUUUCGUUUUAAUGUUAUAUGUGUAAAAAAAAAAAAAA